CAGCAGCCGCGGUAAUACGUAGGGUGCAAGCGUUAAUCUGAAUUACUGGGCGUAAAGCGUGCGCAGGCGGUUCGGAAAGAAAGAUGUGAAAUCCCAGAGCUUAACUUUGGAACUGCAUUUUUAACUACCGGGCUAGAGUGUGUCAGAGGGAGGUGGAAUUCCGCGUGUAGCAGUGAAAUGCGUAGAUAUGCGGAGGAACACCGAUGGCGAAGGCAGCCUCCUGGGAUAACACUGACGCUCAUGCACGAAAGCGUGGGGAGCAAACAGGAUUAGAUACCCUGGUAGUCCACGCCCUAAACGAUGUCAACUAGCUGUUGGGGCCUUCGGGCCUUGGUAGCGCAGCUAACGCGUGAAGUUGACCGCCUGGGGAGUACGGUCGCAAGAUUAAAACUUAAAGGAAUUGGCGGG
rnacentral:rRNA from 1 species